UAAGGCUGCAUGACCGAAAGUCAUGUCUGGGUCAACAAUUGGUCAGUAUUUGUAGGAAGACUUCACAUUAUAUUUCAUUUUCAGCAUUAUUUAUUUUUCUAACAACAAUUAACAUUUUAUCGCCGGACCCCGAAAAGUGGGGAGGAUGUCCUGGGACCAUCACAAAUACAGCAGGCCAGGUCCCCCACCAUGGCUGAGAGUUCAUUCUCUUCAAGUGAUAAUGCACCAGAAGAGGAGUACCACGCUCCUUCUAGGCAGCUAUGUUCAGUCUCAAGACCUGAGAAGCACAAGGUUCCAUCUCCUUCAAAAAGCAAGAAAGAAAACUAGAAAGCAGGUUUUCCCUGCUACAUUUUCCUCGAAACAUCCUCCAGGACCCCAAGUAGACACCACAACAAGUAGACAUUGUAAAGAACACAAAUCAAAAUGCAGAAAGGAUACUAGCAGGCAGAAAGAAUGGCAUGUCAAUGGCAAUUUUUGACGGUCUCUACGGAGGCUGAUAUUUAUGUGAAAGUGUAACAUUGAUUAUGUCUUUAAAGCCUUAGUUCUGUAUUUCUGUGGUUAUGACAACGGUUGAUGUUUUGAGCCUGUAAAACUUGCUUGCUGAAAUCUUGACGUUGUGUGGAUUUCCCUUAAGAACAGUAUCACUAAAUUGCACAUCACCCAAGACUCACCCCCAAAACCCAGUGAACUUUUGUCAUCCUGUUUCCAUUAAGUUUAUCAAUAGUAAAAGCAGAAACAAAGGUGGUCCCAAACAUUCUUGAACGUUUAACAGACAUUUAACUAUCAAGGUAUUUUGCAAAGCCCAAAUCAAUGUUUUUUAAUGUCCUUGGUGUUGGCCGAAAUCUAUGCAUUUUGAACCUCCUUAGUAAAUAUGAUUACGCCCUUAG